UCAUUUAGACUCCUUCCUGUCUAAAGCGUUCUGUUUCUUACGUCCAGUUGGUCCUUGGCUUUCCCGCACGAGCUUGAGUUUGUUUGGGGGUUUCUCAACAUUUUCCUAUCUUUUUGAAUUGUUUCUUUCGGUAAGACAAGUGCCUGGUCUCUGUCUUGCUCCUUUUUCUGCCUCUUCCUUGUCUGCUGCAUACCUGGUGCUCUUCAUCCUCUGAUUCUAUUUAUUCUCUCCUCCUUGGCUCGCAUUUCUUUAUCUCUGGCCCCUUAUUUCCUCUCCUCCCGUUCCCAUCUCGAUGCCCUUUGACCACACAUCCUCUCCCGCCGCCGGAGCCUGCUGAAGACACAGAGGCGGGACCAUGCUGGAAGGAUGGAGGUGGCCAGUUGCCCUGGAAGGGACACCCACUUAGGCCAAUGACUUCCCCAUCCCCUGCGCCACAGAGGGCCUCCACCGGAGCAAGGAAGGGAGCCACACAAAGGGAAGGAAGAAGGAGGAAAUAAAGGAGGGCUGCCCAUUUGUUGUUGAUUUUGAACCGGAGUCUCAGGGAAAACACCUUAGCUGUUCAAAUUCUUCAAAAUAACAAUAAGCAGGUUCUCUUCACACAUGCGUCUGUUUUGACAAACGAAGACUCCCCGGAGGACGAGGGCUGUCACCUGGCCUCUGCCUUAACCACAGACUGAAGGAUUUAACUGGCUCUCCACUUUCUAUGGAAAGGCAACCAACCACCAACAGGCCCUGUGUUCUCUGGAGAACAAAAAGAAGAAGAAAGAGAAAGAAAAAAGCAAAGCAAACAAAAUCUCUGGAACAAAGAAGACGCCAUGAACUCUUAUUAUUUUAUCAUGUAAAGGUCACACACUAGAAUAAACAGAGGUUUACUCCUACUAUAUUUUCUGA